rnacentral:rRNA from 1 species
GACGAACGCUGGCGGCGUGCUUAACACAUGCAAGUCGAACGGACAGACAGAGAGCUUGCUCUCUUGAAGUUAGUGGCGAACGGGUGAGUAACGCGUAAUCAACCUGCCCUUCAGAGGGGGAUAACAACGGGAAACCGUUGCUAAUACCGCGUACGAUUCAUAGGCGGCAUCGCUUGUGAAUGAAAGGUGGCCUCUAUAUAUAAGCUAUCGCUGAAGGAGGGGAUUGCGUCUGAUUAGCUAGUUGGAGGGGUAACGGCCCACCAAGGCAAUGAUCAGUAGCCGGUCUGAGAGGAUGAACGGCCACAUUGGGACUGAGACACGGCCCAAACUCCUACGGGAGGCAGCAGUGGGGAAUCUUCCGCAAUGGACGAAAGUCUGACGGAGCAACGCCGCGUGAGUGAUGAAGGUCUUCGGAUUGUAAAGCUCUGUUAAUCGGGACGAAAGAGUUCUGUGUGAAUAAUGCAGAAAAGUGACGGUACCGGAAUAGAAAGCCAC